rnacentral:rRNA from 1 species
AUGACAAGAGUGAAGAAUAGUUACUAUGUACUUCCAAGAGAGCCUGAACCGAAGCGCACCGUGUCAAACACUCAUAGCAUUGGGAAGGUAAUGUUCCUAACAGCUAUUGCCAGGCCUCGAUAUAACAAUGAGGGGGAGCUAAUAUUCGAUGGGAACAUCGGCAUUUGGGCAUUCGUCGAAGAGAGUGAGGCGAAGCGGACAAGUCAGAACAAAACAAAGGGAACAAAAGUGUUGACAUCAGUGAAAAUAACCAGGCCUGUGUGCAGAGAUUAUCUGAUUAGUAAGGUUAUCCCGGCAAUUCAGGACAAGUGGCCUGAUGAUGAUGAGGGAGCAACAAUAUUCAUCCAACAGGAUAACGCAAAGCCUCAUGUCCUUCCCAAUGAUGUAGCUUUUCGAGAAGCUGUGGAACAAACUGAUCUUGACAUCCGAUUGCUAUAA